rnacentral:rRNA from 1 species
UCGCCUGGGAACUACGAGCCAAGCUUAAAACCCAAAGGACUUGACGGUACCCCAUAUCCCUCUAGAGGAGCCUGUCCUAUAAUCGAUAAUCCCCGUUUAACCUCACCAUUUUUAGCCCACUCCGCCUGUAUACCUCCGUCGUCAGCUUACCACGUGAGCGCUUUAAGUGAGCCCAAUGUCUUCUCGUCAAUACGUCAGGUCAAGGUGCAGUAAAUAAAAUGGGAAGAGAUGGGCUACACUCUCUACUAUUAGAGUAAACGAAAGACCACCUAUGAAACCUGGUCAGAGGCGGAUUUAGCAGUAAAAAAGGACCAGAGAGCCUUUUUUAACCUGGCACUGGGGUGUGU